CCAAUCACUGCAUACAAAUCAGCUGAGCUAAAAAUCAAUGGAAUAAAGGAUGGGAAAGAGCAGGGACAGGUGGGCGGGGCCAGCCAGAAGUGGUAUUUGUUGGUUCUCCUAAUUGGCCA